AACGAAAAAGGGGAAAACAAACACUAGUGGAUAAUUGGAUAAAAUGCAAUGCCCCCAUUCCAUUCAAUCUCUCUAGCCUGCUUAACAUUACGCCAACGGAUAGAAUCACAUCCGUUAAAGAAAGAAAGAAAGAAGGAAAGCAGAAGCAACUGACGGAAGAAAGAUUCUAAUUCUUGAUUUCUUUCUCCCUGACUUGAUAUCUCUUUACAACUAGGCUAUGGAAAACACCUUCACCUUCAUAUCGUGCGACAAGCUAGAUCGUAUGGCUACCUGGGUGGGCGCCAGCAUGGCCUCCGCAUUUUUUGCAUCAUUGGAGCGCUGCUCCUGUAUUAAUCUCAGUACCACCGAUUUGGAUGACGAGGAGGAAGCCAAGGACUGCCCUCUCAUGCUCACCAAGCCCGUUGUUCACGAUGAACCCCAACCCCAUCCUGCCGCUGGGACCCACCCCGCUGCCAAAAACCUCAACGUUUGAUGAUUUCAUCUUCUAGGGAAUCUCAUCUCAUGUGCCAACUUAUACGUCCGGUGGAAAUAUAUUGGAAACUGAAGAAACUGUUUAAACUUCUGAUGGCUACCUGUAUUUGUCAGAAUGUGGGAUCGUUGUAAUCAUGGGAAUGGAACUGAAAUCACAGUGAAUGUUCUAAGAUUUCAGAUCAAUAGUUGAACAGACGGUAACCAGAAAUGAGUAUUUCAAUCCUGUUUUUGAAUUUAGCUAUCAAAAACAGUUCUAUGACUUGGUUGCAAUACUUCUCAAGGGACGCGAGAAAAAGUUAGGUUUAACAUUCCUGUGUUGUAACCCAAACUAGAGAUUAUGUUUGUUGUUUCUUUUUUUUUUCAAUUAAAAAACUUUCUCCAGUUAAAUAUUUAUUUUAAUGUUUCCCAGAAUGUAAGAUUGCGCUGCCGUCAAUUCUGAUUAGUAAACAGAAAAUGAGUAGCAACUGGAUUGCAUUGUAUCAGGAAAGCAGGCAAACAGGGACGGCUUUACCAUUUGUGUUUGCAAUCAUAAAGACAACGACCAUUUUUAGAGAAACAUGUUUUUCCCCCUCAUUUGUCAAGUGAUGCAAAUUUUUUCUGAGAUUAAUUAUACCAAGGAGACCUGAUUCAGUCUUACUCUUCCAUAUCCAGCAAACAAGCAAGUUAAAUGGUGUUCAUGAUAAUGAUAGUGCAUGCUGCUACUUACUACACAAACAAAAGGCAUGAAAUUACUGUUUAUCACUUUGUCUAAAGCACAGCUCUCUGGUAACAAAGGACAUCAUAAAAUUGAAGCUUCCAAAUCAAUAUU